UUUAUGUGGUAACCCUAUGCGAACGCUUGAGAACUCGCUCAGAGAAGCGAGAUAGUAGAAAGAGAGAAAGGGGAAUUUAGGAGAUAUUCAGAAUUGUACCGAGUAGGAGAAAUAUACUACGAUCAGAAGUUUUGUGACAACCAACCGAACAAGACGUAUUUUAUUCAAAGUCUGUAAGAACAGAAGUCUUUGUCCUCCCACUUUACUAGAUUGUUCAGUGGCGUACGAGGAUAGAUUUUUUUUAAAGUAAAGUAAAAUUUUCUAAAAGUUUUAAGUUUCGCGAGUGAAAGCGUGCAAUUUUGUGAUUUUCUUGGUGAUUUGGUAGGACCACCAAAUUCACAUUUUUUUUCCAAGGAGACUCGGCGUAAGUAACCAUUUUUAUCCCUUGUGAAGUGACAAAAGAAUUUUCUUCUCACCCAUUUUUCGCGCGGUCAGGCAUUGUUCUGAGAUUUUAUUUUAUGUGACAUCUUUUGCGCCAGAACAAUAACCGCUUUGUUUCUUUUGUGGUGAAGAAAGUCUAAGAAGGUGACAUUUUUACGAUUUGUAAAGCAUAUAGAGAAAGCUUUUGAGAACCAUUGUGUGAAACGCCAUUUUGAAGAAAACUUGAGAAACAUUAUUGGAAUUUUAUCGACGAUCAUUUUCUUUCAUACACACAUUUUUGGUUUUCCACAUUUCACAGCGUUUUUGCGAGGAUUCCACAACCAAUACCAGCAUAAAAUUUCUCAGUGUGAACCGUUUGCCGAAAGUACAUCAGUGACCGGGAACGCAAAAAGGGAAAAAGUGACGGAUUUGACAGUUCGACAACGCGAGUGUGCGUACGGCGAUCAACGAGCUCGACCAUCGAUUUCACCACUACCGACAACCCGAGUAUCGGAGCCAGUCGGUCGGCGAUUGUUUACCGUGGAGUCGAGAAAAAGUGCAUCGAAAAGUGCAUCUGAGGAGGUCAACGAACCGUAUCGAGCGAGUGUGCGGCCGUCGGUUAGCUGAUUGUGUUGUGUGCCGGUGGAGAACGAGUGAUUUUGUGCAUCGGGGUUGUGGAGUUGCUGCUGCUGCCGCAUUGCAUCGAGUGCAUCGAAGGAAACCUGUUUAUUUACAACGAGUGGCUGCUGCUGAGAGGAUUUUUUAAGAAAAGUGCAUCGGUGGAGAAAAUUUCAAACGGAUUUUGUUGCUGUGUGCUGCUUUGGUGCCGAUUUUGGAUUUUUUUGGUGUGCAACCGCAUUUGGUGUGCAUUUUUUGGAUCGUCUGGUGCUUUGUUGAAACAGGAUGACUUUGACAUCGAUUGCUGAUCCUUUCGUCCCUUACUCUAUGCCAUUCAGCCAGUACCAAGAACAGCUGGAAUGGAUUUUCAAGCACAACGAAUUUCCGGAAGAGCGUUAUAAAACGUCAUUCCUGGCAGUCUGUGGAAAGGAAAUUUUCACAGAACUGAAAAGACUGUUUCCAGGAAAGAAUUUUAAUGAUCUAACGUACAAACAAAUGACUGAUGAACUGAAAAAGCGUUACGAUAAGAACGAUUCAGCUGUUGUGCAUAGUUAUAAAUUUUGGACUAAAAGGCAAGGUAGGAAUGAGUCGCUGGAGGAUUUUGUGAUUACAGUCAAGAAUUUGGCUGAAAGAUGCGAUUUUGGAGAGUUUAAGGAUAGGGCGAUUCGUGACAUGCUUGUCAUUGGAGUGAACGACACUCAGUUACAAAAACGGUUGUGCGAUGAAGAGGAUUUGUCUGCAGCUAAAGCAGAGCGGUUGAUUCUUAAUUCAGAGAUAUCAGCCAGUAGGACGAAACAAUUAAACCACGACGAUGACAGGCGCGUUAGCGUAGUGGCCAGAUUGGGUAACCGAUCUGACGUUUCGCGGUCCAGAAACCGAUUCCGGGGCCGCAGCCGCAGUUUUGAUAGAAACCGAUCUUUUUCGUCUAGGAGUAGAAGCAACGGUAGACAAGACAGUAGAUACCAAAGCAAAAGAGGCGCAAGCUCAGGUAAACCUGUUUACCUUUGUU